rnacentral:rRNA from 12 species
CGCCGUGCCUUUUGCAUAAUGAGCCUACGAGUUACUCCUCACAAGCGAGGUUAAGACUUUAAGAGUCGAAUCCGAAGCGAAAGCGAGUCUGAAUAGGGCGAACUAGUUUGUGGGGGUAGACGCGAAACCGUGUGAUCUACCCAUGGGCAGGUUGAAGCUGUAGUAACAUACAGUGGAGGACCGAACCAGUACAUGUUGAAAAAUGUUUGGAUGACCUGUGGGUAGGGGUGAAAGGCUAAUCAAACUCGGAAAUAGCUCGUACUCUCCGAAAUGUAUUUAGGUACAGCCUUGAGUUAAAGUGAUAUAGAGGUAGAGCUACUGAUAGGGCUAGGGGGCUUCACCGCCUACCAAACCCU